rnacentral:ribozyme from 1 species
UACCCAGCAACUCCUAUCCCUACCUCCUCGUGGUACUGGCCGGGGUUCGAGUAACCUAAGAGAAAAUCGGGUAACCUGGUGGGAACUUUGGUCGUAUGCUGACAGGGAAAG